rnacentral:rRNA from 1 species
UACGUAGGGUGCGAGCGUUGUCCGGAAUUAUUGGGCGUAAAGCGCACGUAGGCGGAUACUUAAGUCAGGGGUGAAAUCCCGGGGCUCAACCCCGGAACUGCCUUUGAUACUGGGUAUCUCGAGUCCGGAAGAGGUGAGUGGAAUUCCGAGUGUAGAGGUGAAAUUCGUAGAUAUUCGGAGGAACACCAGUGGCGAAGGCGGCUCACUGGUCCGGUACUGACGCUGAGGUGCGAAAGCGUGGGGAGCAAACAGG